rnacentral:rRNA from 1 species
GACGAACGCUGGCGGCGCGCUUAACACAUGCAAGUCGAACGGAAAGGCCUGCCUUCCCUUGUGGAUUGCGGGUACUCGAGUGGCGAACGGGUGAGUAACACGUGAGUGAUCUGCCCCCAACUUGGGUAUAAGCCUGGGAAACUGGGUCUAAUUCCCGAUAGGACUGCAGGGUGGUGCCUGUGGUGGAAAACGAUUUUCUAGUGGUUGGGGAUGAGCUCGCGGCCUAUCAGCUUGUUGGUGGGGUAAUGGCCUACCAAGGCGGCGACGGGUAGCCGGCCUGAGAGGGUGGACGGCCACAUUGGGACUGAGAUACGGCCCAGACUCCUACGGGAGGCAGCAGAGGGGAAUAUUGCACAAUGGGCGGAAGCCUGAUGCAGCGACGCCGCGUGGGGGAUGACGGCCUUCGGGUUGUAAACUCCUUUCGACCGCGAGGAAGCCACCUGGUUGGAAGGGUGGUGACGGUAGUGGUAGAAGAAGCACCGGCUAACUACGUG